UAACAGGAACGUGCCAACGGGACCCGAAGUGGAGAGUCAGGAAAAGAAACACACUAAGCAAGCUUGGUCAUAUUGAAUUGUCCUACGCCGCAUGUCCAAGAAAAAGGAAGAGAGAAAAUACUUUUCAAGGGUAAUAAAGAAGAUUCUUACAAUUUCUCCAUUGUGGUUCUAGAUGUUAUUAUAUAUUAGGUUUAAUAAUAAGAAGUCGAAUAUUGCAAGAAUAUAUAAGGGAAAUCAAUAUACUAUUAAUUUAAA